rnacentral:rRNA from 1 species
UACGAAGGGGGCUAGCGUUACUCGGAUUGACUGGGCGUAAAGGGCGCGUAGGCGGUUUGUACAGUCAGACGUGAAAUUCCUGGGCUCAACCUGGGGGCUGCGUUUGAUACGUGCAGACUUGAGUUCGGAAGAGGGUCGUGGAAUUCCCAGUGUAGAGGUGAAAUUCGUAGAGAUGUGGAGGAACACCAGCGGCGAAGGCGGCUUUCUGGUCUGUAACUGACGCUGAGGCGCGAAAGCGUGGGGAGCAAACAGG